CUUAAGAUGUUGUGGACUACAUCCCCCUGAAUGCUCUUACACCCAUACUGCUGGCAAAGCAUCAUGGGAGGUGAAGUCCAAAACAUCUGGAGUGCCAAAGGUUGCCUAUGCCUGGUGUAGAAUGAUCGAUCUCUGAUUAGUUUUAGGACUCGGUCUAUCCAGUGAUAAAUGUAUAGAAACAGAAAAUAUUUUCUGGCUGGUAAACAAUGCUAUUAAUGCAAUAUAGAAG